CGCACAUCAUAUUGCGCAUAACUAUAUCAUACUACGCAUGCUUGUAUCAUAUUGCGCAUGUCCGCAUCAUACUGCGCAUGUCCGCAUCAUAUUGCGCAUGUUCGCAUCACUUCUGUGCCGCGCCAGUUUCUUCUUAGUUUCUUGUGCGUCUUGUGUUUAACAACGAUUAAAAGUUUGAAAAUUUACGUCAAAAGAAGAAUUUAUUUGAAAACAAAUAAGUUUCUGUGCGCAAAAAGGAGUGAAUAAGACUUUGUGGUGUUGUGAUCAAGAUGAGACUUUAAAUCUUCGCAACAAUCUGCAAUUUUCGCAACAAUCGAUACCACUUGACACCCACGUACACGAUUAUCACGACGAAAAGAAGGACGUUGAUCGAGAACAAAAUGGUCAUCCCGUAGAACCAGAGGGUGGACUGCAUGGUCCACGAGAGGUCGCGUAGGAUGCACACGGACUCGUCGAGGCUCGAUGAAAACUCGGCAUCCUCGUGGCAACUGGUGCACUCGGUAUUCGAAGGCCCUGAACAAGUUAGGCAGGUGUAAUGGCAGCUGGA